rnacentral:rRNA from 1 species
CCAACAGGGAUUGCCCCAGUAACGGCGAGUGAAGCGGCAACAGCUCAAAUUUGAAAUCUGGCCCUCGCGGUCCGAGUUGUAAUUUGCAGAGGAUGCUUCGGGCGCGGCGUCGACCAAGUCCCCUGGAACGGGGCGCCAUAGAGGGUGAGAGCCCCGUCGGGUCGGCCGCCAAGCCUGUGUGAAGCUCCUUCGACGAGUCGAGUAGUUUGGGAAUGCUGCUCUAAACGGGAGGUAGACCCCUUCUAAAGCUAAAUAUUGGCCAGAGACCGAUAGCGCACAAGUAGAGUGAUCGAAAGAUGAAAAGCACUUUGAAAAGAGGGUUAAACAGUACGUGAAAUUGUUGAAAGGGAAGCGCUUGUGACCAGACGUGCGCCGGGUGUUCAGCGGGCGUUCUCGCCCGUGCACUCACCCCGGCGCAGGCCAGCGUCGGUUCGGAUGGGGGGACAAAGGCCCCGGGAAUGUGGCUCCUCCGGGAGUGUUAUAGCCCGGGGCGUCAUGCCCCCGCCCGGACCGAGGUUCGCGCUCUGCAAGGACGCUGGCGUAAUGGUCCCCAGCGGCCCGUCUUGAAACACGGACCAAGGAGUCGAGGUUUUGCGCGAGUGUUUGGGUGUCAAACCCGCACGCGUAAUGAAAGUGAACGCAGGUGGGAGCUUCGGCGCACCACCGACCGAUCCUGAUGUUCUCGGAUGGAUUUGAGUAGGAGCGUAGGGCCUCGGACCCGAAAGAUGGUGAACUAUACGUGGAUAGGGUGAAGCCAGAGGAAACUCUGGUGGAGGCUCGCAGCGGUUCUGACGUGCAAAUCGAUCGUCAAAUCUGCGUAUGGGGGCGAAAGACUAAUCGAACCAU